rnacentral:lncRNA from 1 species
AUAAAACUAAAUAAUUAAAAACUAAAAACUGAAAUGCCUAAUAGUCAAAAAACCAAAAAAUAAAAAUAAAUAAAAUAGGACAAGCUCCUGCUUGUCAAAAUAAAGAUUGUAAACAAGAAAAAUAAAACACGAUGAAUUCAGAAUGCACACAACUUUUCAAUAGAGAAGUUGAAUUCUAAACAAGAUACCAAUGUAAGGCUGGCUGAAGAAUUUGUAUUACCAUUUGCCUAGGACAAAUUCUUAUCAUAGUCCUCUCAAGAUAAGCCUUUUAGAUUUAUGGCAAAGUGGCUAAAGCAUGUUGAUUUUAAGGAGUUUCUUGGGCAACAAUGGGGUCAAAGGGGUGGUUGUGCUUUGG